rnacentral:lncRNA from 1 species
UUUUCAGGUGAGUUCUUGCCUUGGACAUAUUUAAGUAAUUUGAUUUCAUUUCCCCAUAUUGUAUGUUCUUUGGGUUUUAAUAGCAGAAACUCAUUACUAGUGUAAAUAUUUAACUACCGGACAAUGUACAUAUAUAAUUUAAUGUCACGGUCUUGGAUUUGAUGCUGAUAUUUUUCAAAGUUGCUACCUUUGUUCUUUGUUGACAGCUUUUGUAAUGUGAUGCUUUCUGAUGGGAUGCCUUUACACAUUGUUGCAUUUUAUUUCAAGAUCAAAAUCAUCUGUGGAUGCGGUGACGGGUAGAUUGCUCCUACUUUGACAUCAUUGUGAACUGUUGUAAAUGAGUAAUAAGUGUAUGUUAUGACAUUGAACUUAAAGUUCUUAAAAAGAAUAUUUACAAAUUUCAAGUGAAUAAAACAUAAUUAUUAUUGUGAAAUUGGUUGGAGGAGUAUAUGGUUAUAAUGAAAGCAAGGUAUAUAGUUGUUUGUUAUCAUACACUAAAUCUGUUUGGAGCUUACUAGAAUUUUGAUUUGCAGUUAUGUUCAAAUCGUAGUCAUGUUUUCUACUUUUGGUUUUCUAGUGUUCAAGACAACCCAAUGACAAUGAUUGUGGAUAUUAUGUUUCGGUAUAUGAAAGAAAUUAUCACAUGUGAAGGAGGAAC